ACCACAAGCGCACACAUCAUUUCUGUUUAUUCACAUACUAUAGGUUCCACACAACUCCUGGUACAGAGGCAAGAAAAGGUAUGUGAACCGUUUGGAAUUACCUGGAUUUCUGCAUAAAUUGGUCAUAAAAUGUGAUCUGAUCUUCAUCUAGGUCACAACAAUAGACAAACACAGUCUGCUUAAACUAAUAAAACACAAACAAUUAUAUGUUUUCAUGUCUUUAUGGAACACAUUGUGUGAACAUUCACAGUGCAGGGUGGGAAAAGUAUGUGAACCCUUGGAUUUAAUAACUGGUUGACCCUCCUUUGGCAGCAAUAACCUCAACCAAAUGUUUUCUGUAGUUGCAGAUCAGACCUGCACAACGGUCAGGAGGAAUUUUGGACCUUUCCUCUUUACAAAACUGUUUCAGUUCAGCAAUAUUCUUGGGAUGUCUGGGGUGAACUGCUCUCUUGAGGUCAUGCCACAGCAUCUCAAUCGGGUUGAGGUCAUGCUACAGCAUCUCAAUCGGGUUGAGGUCAUGCUACAGCAUCUCAAUCGGGUUGAGGUCAUGCUACAGCAUCUCAAUCGGGUUGAGGUCAUGCUACAGCAUCUCAAUCGGGUUGAGGUCAUGCUACAGCAUCUCAAUCGGGUUGAGGUCAUGCUACAGCAUCUCAAUCGGGUUGAGGUCAUGCUACAGCAUCUCAAUCGGGUUGAGGUCAUGCUACAGCAUCUCAAUCGGGUUGAGGUCAUGCUACAGCAUCUCAAUCGGGUUGAGGUCAUGCUACAGCAUCUCAAUCGGGUUGAGGUCAUGCUACAGCAUCUCAAUCGGGUUGAGGUCAUGCUACAGCAUCUCAAUCGGGUUGAGGUCAUGCUACAGCAUCUCAAUCGGGUUGAGGUCAUGCUACAGCAUCUCAAUCGGGUUGAGGUCAUGCUACAGCAUCUCAAUCGGGUUGAGGUCAUGCUACAGCAUCUCAAUCGGGUUGAGGUCAUGCUACAGCAUCUCAAUCGGGUUGAGGUCAUGCUACAGCAUCUCAAUCGGGUUGAGGUCUGGGCCACUCCAGAAGGCGUAUUUUAUUCUGUUGUUGAUUUACUUCUGUGUUUUGGGUCGUUGUCCUGUUGCAUCACCCAACUUCUGUUGAGCUUCAAUUGUCGGACAGAUAGCCUUAUAUUCUCCUGAUAAACUUGGGAAUUAAUUUUUCCGUCGAUGAUAGCAAGUUGUCCAGGCCCUGAGGCAGCAAAGCAGCCCCAAACCAUGAUGCUCCCUCCACCAGACUUUACAGUUGGGAUGAGGUUUUGAUGUUGGUGUGCUGUGCCUUUUUUCUCCACACAUAAUGUUGUGUGUUCCUUCCUUCCAAACAACAUAACUGUAGUUUAAUCUGUCCACAGAAUAUUUUGGCAGAAGCGGAUUCUUCUUAACCUCAUUGAGCAUUCUGCGCUGUGCUCUUGCAGUCAUCUUUGCAGGACGGCCACUCCUAGGAAGAGUAGCAACAGUGCUGAACUUUCUCCAUUUAUAGAAAAUGUGUCUUACUGUGAACUGAUGAACAUCAAGGCUUUUAGAGAUACUUUUGUAACCCUUUCCAUCUUUAUGCAAGUCAACAAUGAGGUAUUCUGAGAUCUCUCUUGUUCGAGACAUGGUUCCCAUCAGGCAAUGCUUCUUGUGAAUAGCAAACUCACAUUUUGUGAGUGUUUUUAUAGGGCAGGGCAGCUCUAACCAACAUCUCCAAUCUCAUCUCAUCGAUUGGACUCCAGGUUAGCUGACUCCUGACUCCAAUUAGCUUUUGAAGAAGUCAUUAGCCUGGGGGUUCACGUACCUUUUCCAACCUACACUGUUUAAAUUAUGUAUUCAAUAUGGACAAGAAAAAUACAAUAAUUUGUGUGUUCUUUUUUACCUUUAUUUAACUAGGCAGUUAAGAACAAAUUCUUAUUUUCAAUGACGGCCUAGGAACACUGGGUUAACUGCCUGUUCAGGGGCAGAAUUACAUAUUUGUACCUUGUCAGCUCAGGGGUUUGAACUUACAACUUUCUGGUUACUAGUCCAAUGCUCUAACCACUAGGCUACCCUGCCAACACUAUGUUAUCUGUUGUUGUGACUAAGAUGAAGAUCAGAUCUAAUUUUAUGACCAAUUUAUUCAGAAAUCCAGAUAAUUCCAAAGGGUUCACAUACUUUUUCUUGCCACUGUAUGUGUACAGAUAAGUGUCAGUGUGAGAGGACUGGGAAAGAAGACACUGAUACAGAGAGUCCACUAACUAACAAGCUGAAAUAACCUCUUCUUGAACUUCAGCAGAACAUCCAUCAUAGCUUGUUUACCAAAUGGCACCCUAUUCCCUUUAUAGUGCACUACUUUUGACCAGAGCCCAUAGAGCAUAGUGCACUAUGUCGGGAAUAGGGUUCCAUUUUGGAUGCAGAGAAUACUCUGUGUAAUGAAGCCUACACAUGCACUUCUCCCCCUCAUUCACUCCCUGCAGUCUUUCAUCCAUCCUCUCUCCCUUCUGCACCUCUCCUCCUUGACUGUACUCCAUCCCUCCAUAUAUCUUCUAUUAUCUCUGAUUAACAGACAGUCGUCCUUCUCUCACUCCUCUAGACCUUCUGCUCUAUCCCGCCCCCUAGUGUUUGUUAUACGUCAUCACAGACUAGUCGACCAGUUCAUGCACUGGAGAGAAUGGUGACUAGGUAAGAGAUGAGUCCACAGCCAAUGGGUCAUUUUGUUGACCGACAGGAUUGGUCAAGCUGUUUUACGAUCAAUCAAAGGUGACAAAACACACACGAUCACACACACACACACACACACACACACACGAUCGGGGUGAAAAAAUAACCACGAACCACCACGAUAAUUAACACACACACUCAAUUAGCCUACAAGCACAAACAUAUUCAAGUAUUAUCCUUCACAGACUGGUGUUUAUUUAUUUAAGUCUAAGAUUUGUAGUCUUCUGAGGAUUGUUCAGGGUUGGAGUCAAUUCUAUUUAAAUUACAGUCAAUUCAGGAAGUACACUGAAAUUCCAACUCCAAUUAUCUACGAUGCUUUUCAAUGAGGAAAAUUGGAAUUUGAUUUACUUUCCCGAAAUUGACUGGAAUUGAAAUGGAAAUUGACUGGAAUUGAAAUGGAAUUGAAAGGGAAUUGAAAUGGAAUUGAAAGGGAAUUGAAAUGGAAUUGACUGGAAUUGAAAUGGAAUUGACCCCAGCUCUGUUGCAGUUACACAUCAUGACCAGACUGGUCUCAGAACAUAUUUUAUAUUUUGCUAAAAAUCCGUGCCACUCCAAUAGAACAUCUCCUUUUUGGCUUAUGUAAAUCCAGGGACACUCAAAUGAGUAUGAUAUGUUACGUUGGUAUGACAGUAGGUUACUUAAGGCAGAGCAAACGUUUAGCAAGCCAAAGAAUACAAUCUAAUCACAGACAACUUUAGCAUUUUACCAGCUUUGCAGCUACUUACUACUUUUUAGGUACUUUGCAACUACUUAGCAUGCUAGCUAACCCUUCCCCAAACCUUUAAUCUAACUCCUAACCUAAUGUAGCACAUCAUACUAAAGCAGUUGAGUGUGAUAUAUCAUACCAAAACAGUAUAGUGUGAUAUAUCAUACUAAAGCAGUUGAGUGUGAUAUAUCAUACUAAAGCAGUUGAGUGUGAUAUAUCAUACUAAAGCAGUUGAGUGUGAUAUAUC